GUCUUAUUGAGUAUAAUUUUAAGUCUAAUCUGCCCAGUGAUUUAUUAAAUGGCUGCAGUAUUUUAACUGUACAAAGGUAGCAUAAUAAUUAGUUUCUUAAUUAGAAACUGGAAUGAAAGAUUGAACGAGACAAUAACUGUCUUAAUUUUAAUUUAAGAAUUUUAUUUUUAAGUUAAAAAGCUUAAAUUUUUUUAAAAGACGAGAAGACCCUAUAGAAUUUUAUAUUAUUAUUAUAUUUAAAUUUUAGUAUAUAAAUUUUAAAUUUUUUUAAAGGUAUUUAGUUGGGGUGAUUGGAAAAUUUAUUUAACUUUUUUUAUUGUAAGUCAUUUAUUUAUGUUUUUUUGAUCCAAAAUUUUUGAUUAUAAGAUUAAAUUACCUUAGGGAUAACAGCGUAAUUUUUUUAGAGAGUUCUUAUCGAUAAAAGAGAUUGCGACCUCGAUGUUGGAUUAAAGUUAAUUUUUAAUGUAGAAGUUAAGAUAUUGGGUCUGUUCGACCUUUAAAACUUUACAUGAUCUGAGUUCAAACCGGCGUGAGCCAGGUUGGAUUCUAUCUUUAAUAAGUUUUAAUAUUUUAGUACGAAAGGACCAGAUAUAAUUUAUAGUAAAUUUUAUAGAAUAAUA
rnacentral:rRNA from 1 species